AUGGAGAGGGCGUCUUCCUCCUCGACCGCGGCCCCUUGGCCGAGCGAUUCGGGGUGGACGACGACGGGACGCUGCCCCCUCUGCGGCUGGGAGGAGAGCGGGGUCACCGUCGCCCUCAUCUUCGAGCACGCGUCGCGCUGCCGGGAGAGGCGAUUCGAGAUGCUGCAGCGCCAGGCGGAGGAGCGGAUUGCCGGGGAACCUCUCUGCGUUCUUUUUGCGAAUGGAAUUGAGCUAAGGUAUUUUCCGCUCUCUGAGGAUCUCUUCCACCGCAAUGGCAGCGGCAGGGAUGACAGGCAGUACAGGAGGGAGAACCUGCAGUACAGGCCUAAGAGUAAGCCAUCCUCUGUGUCUGCUUCUGGUGUUGAUCAGAAGUCUGAAGGGAAGGUGGAGCCUGCUGCUGAGGAAAAGCAGGUGGAAGCCCCUGCUCAGAAUGUUGUUGAAGCCGUCCCUGCCUCUGAAUCUGAAAAGUCUACAGGUGGCUCUGUCAAGAGGGAGCUGAAGAAGCAAAAGCCUAGGAAGGAAGACUCUGAUGGGGAUCCUCCUAAUGAGACUGCUCAGGAAGAGCAGGAGGCUCCCAUUGAACAAGAGAAAAUUGUGAUUGCCCUUGAAGAAUAUGAGAAGAUGCAAGAAAGGAAGAAGUCCCAAGAGGCCUCUAAACCUGAGGAGAGGAGGGCUGCUGCUGUAGAUUUUGAGGGUCUCCAACUCUUAGAGAAGAAGAAGAUUGAGGAUGAUGCUAAAUUGAAGGCGGAAAAUGUUCGCAAGGCAAAGGAGGCUGCUGUAAAGGAAGCCAAGCCUCGCAAGGCUAUCAGCAUCCAGGAGUACCUGAAGCCAGAGGAUGGUUCAGAGUACGUGCCUCCUACCCCCACCGAGGCGCCCUCAAAAUGGCGGCUACAGGGGAGGCCGUGGCAACGGGGCAGCGGCAGGUACCAGGAGCGCCAGGAUGGGUACAAUGGUGAGCGCUGGGAUCAGCAGGGUGGGUACUACCAGGAGCACAGGGAUGCCUGCAAUGGCGACCGCCGGGAGCAAGGCAGGUACAAUGGUGGUGGCCGGGGCAAUGGUGGUUACCAGGAGCGCAGGGAUGCCUACAAUGGCAACCGCCAGGAGCAAGGCCGGUACAAUGGUGGCCGGGGCAACGGUUACCAGCAGCACCAGGAUGGCUACAAUGGUUACCGGGGUGGGUACUACAACAGUGGGCGGGGCAAUGGCGGAUACCACCAGGGUGGCAACUACCGGCAGAGGCAAGCUCCCAAGCCAAAGGAGGAGGAUAAAGUGGUGAUCACAGAGGCCGACUUCCCAGCUCUAGGUGGCGCAUCUCAGGCGCAGUCCCAGGCCUAG
rnacentral:rRNA from 1 species